GCUGACAGCUGUAAUUGCUGCAGGUUAUAAAAAUAUCUAUAGGACAAUGCCUUUCAAGCUCUCAGGCACACACAUACACACUCACACACACUAAAUGAAAGAAAACAAUCAUAUUCCCUUUAAUAAUCCUGGGACUGCAAAGGAGGGGGCACGGAGGAGCUUGCCGUGUGGACUGGAGGGCUGGCAGGCAGGUGAGAACGUGGAGGAGAUGAAGACUCCUAGCAGUGGCAGCAUCUCCACACGAAAGAAGGGAUGGAGAAGGGAGCAUUUGCCAAUGGAAGGGAAAUUGGCUGUUUUUGUUUUUCCCUGUGUUACCUACAGCAAGCUGGGGUUGGUUGAAGAGCCGUGAAUUCUCCAUAUACACGAGAGACCGAAAGAAGAGCUCUCGCCUGAGACGUGCCAGUGCUGCUGCUGCCUUCUCUAAAAAGGCGAAAGGCCCCCCUCUCCUGGUGGAGAUUCCAAAUAGGAGCUCAGGCGAGAAGAGGCUGCUUGCAGGAUGAGGAUCAAAAAAUCAUUGUUCGUCCGGGCUAGAGUCUGGUGUGUGAGGAUUUCAGAGGGAAGAGCCAAAGCUUCAGGAAGGGAAAGAAGCAUCGGAGGAAAAGAAAGCAGUCAUGAAUGGAGAGAACUGAGGAGGAAGAGAACAAGGGCAAAGCCAGGAGCAACUGUAGAAGACAGAAUCUGUCAUGAGACAAGAAUUUGCUCAAUAACAUAUGGGUUCAAUUGUGCUUCUUACGGGGCAUGGCAUUUUGUAAACAUCAUUUUGUAUCUGGAUCCAAGUCUUAACUCUGGCCAACAUUAAACAAGUCCCUUGUUUGUUUGUUUGUCUGUUUGUUUUUUAGCUUCUUUGUUUUCAGAAAAACUAACAUCUCCAUGAAAUGUAGGUCUUUGAGAAGACCUAGUGCCAACCAAUGCAUUCAAAUGGGCUAAUGCCUUUUUGAAAGCUGAAAGCACUGUUCUACAGUAAGAUAAUGGAUGGUAUCAUCGACUCAAUGGGCAUGAGUUUAAGCAAAUUCAGAGAGAUAGUGAAAGAGAGGGAAGUCUGACAUGCUGCAUCCAUGGGCUUGCAAAGAGUAGGACACAACUUAGCUACUGAACAGCACCAGUAGGGUGAUAGCUCACAGAAGGCUGGGGUCAAGGGUAAAGCAUUUGC
rnacentral:lncRNA from 1 species